GACAAUGCUCAGAAUGGGAGAAAAUGUUUGCAAACAAAUCAACGGACAAAGGAUUAAUCUCCAAAAUCUAUAAACAGCUCAUGCAGCUCACUAUUAAAGAAACAAACAACCCAAUCCAAAAAUGGGCAGAAGACCUAAAUAGACAUUUCUCCAAAGAAGACAUACAGAUGGCCAAGAGGCACAUGAAAAGCUGCUCAACAUUACUAAUUAUUAGAGAAAUGCAAAUCAAAACUACAGUGAGGUAUCACCUCACACCAGUUAGAAUGGGCAUCAUCAGAAAAUCUACAAACAACAAAUGCUGGAGAGGGUGUGGAGAAAAGGGAACCCUCUUACACUGUUGGUGGGAAUGUAAAUUGAUACAGCCACUGUGGAGAACAGUAUGGAGGUUCCUUAAAAAGCUACAAAUAGAACUACCAUAUGACCCAGCAAUCCCACUACUGGGCAUAUACCCUGAGAAAACCAUAAUUCAAAAAGAGUCAUGUACCAAAAUGUUCAUUGCAGCUCUGUUUACAAUAGCCCAGAGAUGGAAACAACCUAAGUGUCCAUCAUCGGAUGAAUGGAUAAAGAAGAUGUGGCACAUAUAUACAAUGGAAUAUUACUCAGCCAUAAAAAGAGACGAAAUUGAGCUAUUUGUAAUGAGGUGGAUAGACCUAGAGUCUGUCAUACAGAGUGAAGUAAGUCAGAAAGAGAGAGACAAAUACCGUAUGCUAACACAUAUAUAUGGAAUUUAAGAAAAAAAAAUGUCGUGAAAAACCUAAGGGUGAAACAGGAAUAAAGACACAGACUUACUAGAGAAUGGACUUGAGGCUAUGGGGAGGGGGAAGGGUAAACGGAGACAAAGCGAUAAAGAGGCAUGGACAUAUAUACACUGCCAAACGUAAGGUAGAUAGCUAGUGGGAAGCAGCCGCAUAGCACAGGGAGAUCAGCUCGGUGCUUUGUGACCGCCUGGAGGGGUGGGAUAGGGAGGGUGGGAGGGAGGGAGACGCAAGUGGGAAGAGAUAUGGGAAUAUAUGUAUAUAUAUAACUGAUUCAUUUUGUUGUGAAGCUGAAACUAACAUACCAUUGUAAAGCAAUUAUACUCCAAUAAAGAUGUUAAAAAAAAAAAAAAAAAAAAAAAGAAU